AUACAGAGGGUGCGAGCGUUAAUCGGAAUUACUGGGCGUAAAGCGCGCGUAGGCGGCUACUUAAGUCAGAUGUGAAAUCCCCGGGCUCAACCUGGGAACUGCAUCUGAUACUGGGUAGCUAGAGUUUAGGAGAGGGAAGUAGAAUUUCAGGUGUAGCGGUGAAAUGCAUAGAUAUCUGAAGGAAUACCAGUGGCGAAGGCGGCUUCCUGGCCUAAAACUGACGCUGAGGUGCGAAAGCGUGGGUAGCAAACGGGAUUAGAAACCCCUGUAGUCC
rnacentral:rRNA from 1 species